GAUGAACGCUGGCGGCGUGCCUAAUACAUGCAAGUCGAACGAAACUUCUUUAUCACCGAGUGCUUGCACUCACCGAUAAAGAGUUGAGUGGCGAACGGGUGAGUAACACGUGGGCAACCUGCCCAAAAGAGGGGGAUAACACUUGGAAACAGGUGCUAAUACCGCAUAACCAUAGUUACCGCAUGGUAACUAUGUAAAAGGUGGCUAUACUACCGCUUUUGGAUGGGCCCGCGGCGCAUUAGCUAGUUGGUAGGGUAAAGGCUUACCAAGGCAAUGAUGCGUAGCCGAAUUGAGAGGUUGAUCGGCCACAUUGGGACUGAGACACGGCCCAAACUCCUACGGGAGGCAGCAGUAGGGAAUCUUCCACAAUGGGCGAAAGCCUGACGGAGCAACGCCGCGUGGGUGAAGAAGGUCUUCGGAUCGUAAAACCCUGUUGUUAGAGAAGAAAGUGCGUGAGAGUAACUGUUCACGUUUCGACGGUAUCUAACCAGAAAGCCACGGCUAACUACGUG
rnacentral:rRNA from 1 species